rnacentral:rRNA from 1 species
ACGGCUGCAAACAGAAAUGGCGUAGGCAUCUUGAUCAACAAGAGCCUCAAGUAUGGAGUGGUAGACGUCAGGAGACGUGGGGACCGGAUUAUCCUAGUCAAGCUGGUAGCUGAGGACUUGGUUCUCAAUGUUAUCAGCGCAUAUGCCCCGCAAGUAGGCCACAAUGAGAACACCAAGAGGGAGUUCUGGGAAGGCUUGGAAGACAUGGUUAGGAGUGUACCGAUUGGUGAGAAGCUCUUCAUAGGAGGAGACCUCAAUGGCCACGUGGGUACAUCUAACACAGGUUUUGAAGGGGCGCAUGGGGGCUUUGGCUAUGGCAUCAGGAAUCAAGAAGGAGAAGAUGUCUUAAGCUUUGCUCUAGCCUACAACAUGAUUGUAGCUAACACCCUCUUUAGAAAGAGAGAAUCACAUCUGAUGACUUUUAGUAGUGGCCAACACUCUAGCCAGAUUGAUUUCAUCCUCUCGAGAAGAGAAGAUAGGCGUGCGUGCCUAGACUGUAAGGUGAUACCUGGGGAGAGUGUUGUACCCCAGCAUAAGCUGGUGGUUGCUGACUUCCGCUUUCGGAUUCGUGUCCAGCGGGAUAAGCGUGCCAAGGUCACUAGAACGAAGUGGUGGAAGCUCAAGGGGGAGGCAGCUCAGGUGUUCAAGGAGAGGGUAUUUAAGGAGGGCCCUUGGGAGGAAGGAGGGGAUGCGGACAAUGUGUGGAUGAAGAUGGCGACUUGCAUUCGUAAGGUGGCCUCGGAGGAGUUCGGAGUGUCCAGGGGAAGGAGAAGCGAAGAUAAGGAUACCUGGUGGUGGAAUGAUGAUGUCCAGAAGGCGCUUAAAGAGAAGAAAGAUUGCUUCAGACGCCUAUAC